ensembl:lincRNA
GCGUGCUCUCCACGUCAACCGGCAGAUCACAAAAGCAACUGCAGCCCCUUGGAACUUUCCACCACAGACAGGCGAUGCUGACCCCAGGUGACAUCUGACUGUGAUGACAAAGUGACUUGGGUUGAGAGAUUAGAAUCUCUAACUGCUUUGCGGUUUCAGAAGGCAAAAGGAGACAGACCUAAAAGCGGGGUGAGAGCUUAAAAAUUCAGGGUGAAUCGCUCCAGGACGAUAGACUUGUCCGGCGGGUCAUUCGUGUGGCUUCCUGAGGAAAAGCUUUUCAAGCCCCAGUUUGAUACCGUUGAAAUGGGCUGUGGAAACACAGGAAGCCCAUCCCUCAACCCAGCAGCUCACUGGCAACUGCUUCCAGAUGGAGUGGCGGUUCACCCCGUGAGGGCAGACGGAGAGCGAAGGGAAGGCGGCCAGCUGACACCGAUGCGGAACACUGCGGCAUUAUGAAAACCGUGUUCUCUGCUAAAGGCGUGCGCAGGGCAGAUGAGCCCUAAGUCACAGCUUACACCUGAUGGCAUAACACUGCGCUCCUGCCAGGGUACUCAUUCUCUCACUCCCUGAUCAGACGCCGGCCACCCCUUCCUUCUCCUUGGCUCUUACCAUCAUCCCCACGAGGAACUUCACUGAGGGGACACUGCUUUUCAGCGUGUCCCACAUGGCCAGAAGGCAAGGCUAGGAAUUGUUGGAAAUAUCUGUAGAUAAAGAUGCCGAGAUGGAGCCAUGACGUGUGCCCCAGGAAACGGUGGAGGCUCGUCCAUUGGAACAAGCACGAAGCCCGCUCAGCAGGGCAGAGCCCGAACUCCCAACCCCAGGCCCGUUCACCGCCUCCAACCUCUGCCAUUGGAACAGUUUUGGAGCCUCCUUCACUGUGGCCUUUUGCCUCCAACAGUGUAAUUUCUCAGGGUGGAAAGAGGAAUCCCUCUACUGUGCCAACAUCACCCCCCUCUACUCUGUACCCCCUGCAUCCGCCUUCUUCUCACCCCGAGGAGGGAGCACAGAGGGGCAAGAGCGAGCCUGCUCAGAGACGGAGUUUUGAGACGUGAGCAUCUCCUGAUGACCCCCGCUAGGAGGAGGAAGCCUCACUACUCCAGCUCUCGGAUUUUUUGCUUCAGUCACACACCGGUCCAGGGAUGUGACUGGCACACUUCAGUCCCAGCCGUCCGCUUGUCACUAAUGUGGUUGCUCACUUUCUUUAAAUCUCCUUCCUUCUCUGACCUUCAGCCUGCUCAGUCAUCAACUAGGGGCCUGAGGCAGACAGCAGGCAUCUUUCCAUUCACAGAGUGGUAUUCGGACGCAAUCAAUGGCACGUGUGAUUUUUAAGCAUCAGUCUCCCGUGCUUCUAAGACAGAUUUGAAAAAUGGGAAAUGUUAAGGGGCUGAAUGCAUUCCUUUUUCUCUCUUUUUCAAAAGACCUUUCCUAUUUCAGACACUGCCUCUGUGGUGAGUACGUGUGUGUGAGAGAACAUGUUUGCAAAACACAUGAAACAUUUGCGUAUAAUAGCAUUUUCACAGCAGUGAGUAUAAACAGGGACAAACUUAUCUUCUGCAAGUGAUUAGGAGUGGCUUUUCGUGGGUGUCUCUGAAAUGACAGAUUGUGCAAUUUUUAGAAAAAAAAAGUUUAUAGGAAAAAGCCCUACACAGGCAAUAAUAUUUUGACCUUGAAGGGGGAAAAUAUGCUCAUUUGUUUAUAGAAAAUAAACUCCCCUCCAAAGUUUGCGUUCAGAAGAACCUUGGUUGGCUGCUCAUAAAUAAAUUGAGAACAGAAUUGUUGAUUACUCAGUUUAAUGUUCUUUUACUAAAGUGAAAAUAUUGUACAUAAUUAGAUUAAGAAGAGAUUUCAGAAGAAAGGGUGACGAUCUGAGUAAUCACGGAGUCAAUACAGGCACAUUUUGAUUUUAUUAGCCAGCUAUUAGAGCCGUCUUUGGCAUUUAUAUGUGAUGCGCAGGGCAGGCAUGGAGCCGUGGAGAGUCAUUUGUGUCCGCUGUCUGGACUAAUUGAGCGACAAUAAUAAAACGCUGUUUUUAGAUAAACAAUGGGUGGCGGAGCUCCAUCAGUCCCCGCAGGGAGCGUGUUUAUGUCUUUCAAAGAGCCACGGGCGGAGCUCGCCGGCCACAGUCAUUUCACAGAGCAAAGUCAAGUCCUUUAAAUCAACUAAAUUGAACGCAGUUUUGAAAUGGAAAUCAGGGGUCCCAGUUUGGAGCUGCCUUGCUGUCAGUGGGAAGCUAGAGUCACUGAUUACCCUUUGGUCCCCUCCCAAGUCUUCUUCAAAGGAGGGAGGCCCCAAAUGACAUUAGCCACACAGGGGAAUUAAAGGUCACGUGUGAUGUGUCAUGUGUGGGUGCUGAGCAGCCUGACGUGGAAGUAUCAUCAUAAAUCCAGCUGCCCACUUCCAUGCUGCCCUCCUUUGCAGAAAGUAGACAGGCCCAUGACAGACGAACAGUCUGAGAGUUCCAAGAAGGAUUUAAGUGGGUGAGUGCCACCCCACCCAGGGGGCAGGCAUUUCUCCUUGGGACCACAAGCUCUACCUCCAUUCCCUGACCCCUUCAAAAAGUGUUCCUUCCUUCCUUCUCCCUCCACACUCUUUAGACUGGAGAGUGUCUAGACACGAACCUCUGCUCUGUGUGGAGAUUAAGAUCUCUGGUUACAGACUAGGAACAGAAAAGCACUUGCAGGCUGGUCUCCUGAAAAAGUCACUUUAUCUUAACACAGGCUCACACAACCACCAGGCUUUUGUAGGCGCCAAGGGGUGGCUGGGAGGGUUUUAACACCUUUCUCUUUUUAGCCAUCAGCCUUCCCCAAGCCAAUUCAAACAACCACACCUUUGAGGGAAAAGCAGUGUGCUUGCCUGGCAAAUACAGCUUCAAGAUAGGUUUCCUGCACCCUACCAACUAAAUUGCGUGCAUCUCCUUCCACUCUUACAAAAUGUCAUUGCCACCACUGCGUUUUAAAAAGUUGGGUAGAGUCCAUUGACAUCUUCAUUCAACAACUCUUCCUUAAGCACCUACAGGACACCAGGUCCUGUGCUGGUUGCUGAAGAGACAGCCUCUCAUAAGACAACCAACCCAUGGAAGCUGAGGUCUUGUGGGGAGACAGGGAGACAACAAUAUGAUAAAAUACUGCCCUAGGGAGGCACUCGAGAGGCCAUGAAUGGCUUCCUCUGUGUCUUAGCUCCUGCUGCUGCGAUAAAACAUCCAAGACUGGGCUUCCCCGGUGGCUCAGUGGUAAAGAAUCCGCCUGCCAAUGCAGGAGACAUGAGCUUGACCCCUGAUCCGGGAAGAUCCCCUAUGCCACAGAGCAACUAGGGCUGUGCACCACAGCUCCUGAGCCUGUGCUCUAGAGCCCGGGAUCCUCAACUACUGAACCCACGUGCCCCAAUUACUCAAGCCCACACGCCCUAGAGCUUGUGCUCUUCAACAAAAGAAGCCAUCAUGGUGAGAAGCCUGUGCACGGCAACUAAAAUAGCCCCUCCUCUCCGCACAGCAAUGAAGACUCAGCACAGCCAAAAAUAAAUAAAUAAAAAUUAUUAAGAAAAAAAUCAAAGCCUGAGUGGUUUAAACAACAGACAUUGAUUUCUCAGAGUUCUAGAGCAUAUAUGUCCAAGGGAAAGUGGGGGUGAGGCAGAUUCAGUUCUCAGAGAUAUCCCACUCUUAGCUCUUCCUGCUCACGUGGCAGAGAAAGGAAGCUCUGUGUCUCUUACUCUUUUUGUAAAGGGCACUAAUCCCAUCAUGGAGGCUCCAUCUUCAUGACCUCACCUCCCAAAGAGCCACCUCCAAAUACCAUCACACCAGGAGUUAGGGCUCGAGCAUAUGAAUAUGGGGAUGGGAGGCUGGUGACACAGACAUUCAGCCCAUCAUUCUGUGCCAGCAUACCCAGCUGCAGACCAGCUGUUCUCCCUUAGGUCUUUUCCUGUGCCACAAUCCCGACUUCUGCCCUCC